UACGUAGGCAGCAAGCGUUGUUCGGAGUUACUGGGCGUAAAGAGUGCGUAGGCGGUGUCGAAAGUUUGGCGUGAAAUCUCCCGGCUUAACUGGGAGGGUGCGCCGAAAACUGCGGUGCUGGAGUGUGGGAAAGGCAAGCGGAAUUCCUGGUGUAGCGGUGAAAUGCGCAGAUAUCAGGAGGAACACCGGUGGCGAAGGCGGGUCUCUGGGCCGAUAUCGACGCUGAGGAGCGAAAGCGUGGGGAGCGAACAGG
rnacentral:rRNA from 1 species